CAGUCGCCACGGUAAUGCGAAGGGUGCAAGCGUUAAUCGGAAUUACUGGGCGUAAAGCGUGCGUAGGCGGUUUGUUAAGUCUGUUGUGAAAUCCCCGGGCUCAACCUGGGAAUGGCAAUGGAUACUGGCAAGCUAGAGUGUGUCAGAGGAUGGUGGAAUUCCCGGUGUAGCGGUGAAAUGCGUAGAGAUCGGGAGGAACAUCAGUGGCGAAGGCGGCCAUCUGGGACAACACUGACGCUGAGGCACGAAAGCGUGGGGAGCAAACAGGAUUAGAUACCCGUGUAGUCCCUGUCUCUUAUAC
rnacentral:rRNA from 1 species